ensembl:lncRNA
GAGAAAACGCGUGAUUUUCGUUAAAUGUUGGAUUCUCGAAGAGAAAACGCGUGAUUUUCGCUUAAAUGGGGUAUUUGCGAAGAGAAAACGCGUGAUUUUCAGGUUAAAUGGAGGAUUUCCGAAGAGAAAACGCAUGAUUUUCUGGUUAAAUGGGGGAUUUCCGAAGAGAAAACGCGUGAUUUUCGCUUAAAUGGGGGAUUUGAGAAAACGCGUGAUUUUCGCUUAAAUGUUGGAUUCUCGAAGAGAAAACGCGUGAUUUUCAAGUUAAAUGGAGGAUUUCCGAAGAGAAAACGCAUGAUUUUCUGGUUAAAUGGGGGAUUUCCGAAGAGAAAACGCGUGAUUUUCGCUUAAAUGGGGGAUUUGAGAAAACGUGUGAUUUUCGCUUAAAUGUUGGAUUCUCGAAGAGAAAACGCGUGAUUUUCAAGUUAAAUGGAGGAUUUCCGAAGAGAAAACGCAUGAUUUUCUGGUUAAAUGGAGGAUUUCCGAAGAGAAAAC